GAUCCUGGCUCAGGAUGAACGCUAGCUACAGGCUUAACACAUGCAAGUCGAGGGGCAGCGGGAUUGAAGCUUGCUUCAAUUGCCGGCGACCGGCGCACGGGUGAGUAACGCGUAUCCAACCUUCCGUACACUCAGGGAUAGCCUUUCGAAAGAAAGAUUAAUACCUAAUGGUAUGAUGAGAUUGCAUGAUAGCAUCAUUAAAGAUUUAUCGGUGUACGAUGGGGAUGCG
rnacentral:rRNA from 1 species